AUGCAAGGCGGUGUCCACAUCGAGCCGGGCUUCUUCGCCUUCCACCAGGACCUCGUCGUCCACGGCGUCGCCCACUUCCUAGAUGGUGCCGGCAAGUUCGUAUUCGACGACCGCCUGCACGCCCUGCUCCGGAGGUCCGAGACUGGGCUGAUUGUCAACCCGCCGGAGCUCAUGGCGCCCUACACCUCCCAACCAGUGGUCGUGCCGGAGGACUGCCGCUCCAUGUUCAUCACCUUCUCCAAGGGAAAUGCCCUCCACCACGAGGAGAUCUUUGAGUACUUCAGGCAGAAGUGGGGCGACUGUGUAGUGAGGGUGCUCAUGGAGAAGACGAAGGGAGGCCACAGGCCCAUGUAUGGCCGGAUCAUCUUCAAGACAGAGGUGAUCGUGAAGCUCGUGCUCAACGGCGAGAGGCUCGUCAAGAUCUCCAUCGGACAAUGUGAGAUUUGGCUCCGCAAGUACGUCCCCAGGCCAACCAACGCUGUCGCCUGA
rnacentral:rRNA from 1 species